rnacentral:rRNA from 1 species
UACGAAGGGGGCUAGCGUUGUUCGGAUUUACUGGGCGUAAAGCGCACGUAGGCGGAUAUUUAAGUCAGGGGUGAAAUCCCGGGGCUCAACCCCGGAACUGCCUCUGAUACUGGAUAUCUCGAGUCCGGAAGAGGUGAGUGGAAUUCCGAGUGUAGAGGUGAAAUUCGUAGAUAUUCGGAGGAACACCAGUGGCGAAGGCGGCUCACUGGCUCGACACUGACGCUGAGGUGCGAAAGCGUGGGGAGCAAACAGG